ACGCCCGUAGCUCAGUUGGUUAGAGCGCCUCCCUUACAAGGAGGAUGUCGGGGGUUCGAGUCCCUCCGGGCGUACCA
rnacentral:tRNA from 1 species